AUGUAAGUUUUUGCGUGAAUUUAUAAAAGUUUUAAUAAUUUUUAUACUUGUUAUAGCCUCAGUAACUAAUAUUAUUAAUUAAAGAAAUUUAGAAAUAGUUAUAUUGUUUAGUAUUGGCUAAAUUUGUGCCAGCAGCCGCGGUUACACGAAUAAUACAAAUAAAUUUAUUUCGGUUUAAGUUAAAUUUUUAUUUUGAAAUUAAAAUAUUUUUAUUAGGUGAAAUUUUAAAUUUAUUUAAUUUUAUUGUUUAUUAAUUGAUUCUUGUAAAUUUUAUUUAUAAACUAGGAUUAGAUACCCUAUUAUUUAAAAUGUAAAUUUUUACCUAGGUAGUAUUAGUUAUGUUCUUGAAACUUAAAAAAUUUGGCGGUAUUUUAGUCUAUUCAGAGGAACCUGUCCUGUAAUCGAUAAUCCACGUUUCACUUUGCUUUAGUUUGUUUCUCAGUUUAUAUACCGUCGUUAUCAGAAUAUUUUAUUAGAAUAAUAAUUUUCAAUAAUUUGUAUCAGAAUUUAUAUCAGAUCAAGGUGUAGCUUAUACUUUAGUAGAGAUGGGUUACAAUAGUGUUAUCUAUAUGAAUUUAAAAAUGAAAUUUUUUAAUGAAAGUGGAUUUGAUCGUAAAUUUACCUAUUUUGUUAAAUUGAUUAUAGCUCUAAAAUAUGCACACAUCGCCCGUCGCUCUUAUUAUUAAGAUAAGGUAAGUCGUAACAUAGUAGAUGUA
rnacentral:rRNA from 1 species